rnacentral:ncRNA from 23 species
GCCACAAGGAUAAGGCAUGGUUCCCGACACGGCGCAAAGCGCCAAGGGAGAAUAUGGGAAUGCGGAGGGGUGAUCCAAACCGGAGCCUUCAGCCGCAGCCGCCCCCGCGACUGUGACGCGGCGAGCGCCCGCCGGAUACCACUGAGCCUCGGCUCGGGAAGGUGGCGAAGCGCGACGACCCGCAAAGCCAGGAGACCUGCCAUGUGAAACGAAACCCCA